rnacentral:rRNA from 1 species
UACGUAGGGUGCAAGCGUUUAAUCGGAAUUACUGGGCGUAAAGCGUGCGCAGGCGGUUUUGUAAGUCUGUCGUGAAAUCCCCGGGCUCAACCUGGGAAUUGCGAUGGAGACUGCAAGGCUAGAAUCUGGCAGAGGGGGAUGGAAUUCCGCGUGUAGCAGUGAAAUGCGUAGAUAUGCGGAGGAACACCGAUGGCGAAGGCAAUCCCCUGGGCCUGCACUGACGCUCAUGCACGAAAGCGUGGGGAGCAAACAGG